rnacentral:rRNA from 1 species
UACGUAGGGUGCAAGCGUUGUCCGGAAUUAUUGGGCGUAAAGAGCGUGUAGGCGGCUUGAUUAGUCUGCUGUGAAAGUCCAGGGCUCAACCCUGGAAUGCCGGUGGAUACUGUCAAGCUAGAGUCCGGAAGAGGUGAGUGGAACUCCUGGUGUAGCGGUGAAAUGCGCAGAUAUCAGGAAGAACACCAAUGGCGAAGGCAGCUCACUGGGACGGUACUGACGCUGAGACGCGAAAGCGUGGGGAGCAAACAGG